GUGAAGCUUCGCAGAAAACCUGGAUUUUGGCAUGAAAACCAGACCACUAUAUCUUGGGGUCCCGAUUACUGCGGGGCGCUCGUCGCGUGUAAGCGCGUACUCGUGUACAAACCGCUGACACAGACCACGCGUAGAGCGAAAGGGGACAUGAGAGAAUGGUGUUAUGCCGACACAGCCCAAAGGAGCUUAUGAUUUGUGUAUUACCGUAGACGUUUAACACCGACGACAAAAUGAGUUGUUAUAAUCAGAGCCGCCGCCGGAAAGAGGUGUAACCGCGUAGUUUACGCAGGAUACAUCCUUAGUUUUUUUUCCAUCAUGUUCAAAACCGGACCCGCUCCUGGAUUGGAUAAUGACGGUUCGGAAAUCAUUAUAAUGAAUGGGUUCUUAUCAUCAUGGGCGAAAAUAUCACGUUCCUCUCAGUGCAAUGGCGGCGUCGAAUUUAUGUACACCCAAUACACAUCUCCAUGUCAAGUUCAUUAUAUGGAUGUCUGUACAGAGAGGAAAGGUAUAAUUAUGGCUAGUCGACAGAGACGGGUUUGUGUGUGUGGAUCCAUGACAUUUAAUUAAAAUAUAUCAGAGUUAGUCAUACAGAGAGAAGUACUACUAUAGCCGCUGGCAGUUGUGCGUGGUGGUGUGGCGGUAUUGCCGCGUUAUAUGGGCGCGGGAACUGUUGUUUUGUUCAGACUGAAUCGCCCGGGAACAAAGACACGAAAAAUAGAUGUCAUUUUUUUCACUCGUGAACAUUACAUUAUUAUAUUAUUAUUGUGUCUAUUGAUGAUGUUUGAUCGAUUUUGAUUAGUCCGCUGUCAAAUUUUAAAAAUCCGUUGGAAAUCGUCAUAAUAGCACUGUCAGCAUUAACAGUAAUGUUUAUUCGGAGAAAUAACCAUAUUCACAUAAAAGUUUAUUUUU